rnacentral:rRNA from 1 species
UACGUAGGGGGCGAGCGUUGUCCGGAUUUAUUGGGCGUAAAGAGCGUGUAGGCGGCCUGGUAGGUCAGCUGUGAAAACUCGAGGCUCAACCUCGAGACGUCGGUUGAAACCACCUGGCUAGAGUCCGGAAGAGGAGAGUGGAAUUCCCGGUGUAGCGGUGAAAUGCGCAGAUAUCGGGAAGAACACCCGUGGCGAAGGCGGCUCUCUAGUACGGUACUGACGCUGAGACGCGAAAGCGUGGGGAGCGAACAGG